AAUAUAAAAAGAGUACUAGUGGGUUCAGUACCAGUACUGAAAAAAAAACUUAUUAUUAAUGAAUAAUAAAUAUUGAUUGAGUUAAUGAUAGCUUGAAUUUGUUAAGUACUUACUUAGAGUCAGAUACUGUUCUAAACAUUGUGUAUGUGUAUGUGUGUGUGUGUGUGUGUGUGUGUCAUCUUUUUUGUUUGUGGUGGUGCUGGGGAUUGAACCCAGGGUCUCACGUGUGCUAGACAAGUGAUGUAGUUCAGUUGUAGAGUAUUUGCUGAGCAGGUACAAGACCCUGGGUUCAAACCCUCAUAAUGCAAAGCAAACAAACAAAAAAGAGACAAGGAAAUAAAAGCAUAUUACUAAGUAAAAGACACUAUAUUAAUUUUUCAUUGUUAUAACAAAAUGCCUGAGGCUAGAUAAAUAUGCAAAGAAAAUAAGUUUAUUUAGGAUUAUGGAUAUGAGCCAAGAUCUGAAAGUUCAAGAUCAGGUGGCCCCAUUUGUUCAGUCUCCUAUGAGAGCCUCAUAGUGGAUGGCAUUAUGGGAAACCACAUGUGAGGGGGAAAGGUCACAUGACAAGACAGGAAGCCAGAGAGACCAAGUCUUGCUCUUUUAUAGCAGCUCCUCUUGCAAGAACUACCUGAAAAUAAAAGAGCACUAUGUCAGCACCCACAGUGACCUAAAUACCCCCCACUGGCCCUACCUCUCAGAGUUUCAAUAACAUCUCUCAAUGCCACUGUAUUGUGGACCAAACUUCCACCACAUGAACCCAUGAAGGACACACUCAGACCAUAUCUAAACCAUAGCAGAAGCCAAUCUGAAAGGCUAUAUGCUUCAUGACCCCAGCUACACAUUCUAGAAAUGGCAAGACUGUGGAGAUAGGGAAAGAAUAAUGAUUGCCAUGGGUUAGGGGAGAGAGAGGAUGAAUAAGUAGAGCAUAGAGAAUUUUUAGGGAAAUUAUACAACACCAAGUGUGAUAAAAUAAUAAUAAUAAUAAUAAUAAUCUCAUACCUGUAAUCCAGGCCAGCCUCAGCAAUUUAGUGAGGCUGUAAGUGACUUAGUGAGACCCUGUCUUAAAAUAAAAAAGAAAAAGUGCUGGGGAUGUG
rnacentral:lncRNA from 1 species